rnacentral:rRNA from 2 species
UGGGGAAUCUUGCGCAAUGGGCGAAAGCCUGACGCAGCCAUGCCGCGUGAAUGAUGAAGGUCUUAGGAUUGUAAAAUUCUUUCACCGGGGACGAUAAUGACGGUACCCGGAGAAGAAGCCCCGGCUAACUUCGUGCCAGCAGCCGCGGUAAUACGAAGGGGGCUAGCGUUGCUCGGAAUUACUGGGCGUAAAGGGCGCGUAGGCGGACAGUUUAGUCAGAGGUGAAAGCCCAGGGCUCAACCUUGGAAUUGCCUUUGAUACUGGCUGUCUUGAGUACGGGAGAGGUGAGUGGAACUCCGAGUGUAGAGGUGAAAUUCGUAGAUAUUCGGAAGAACACCAGUGGCGAAGGCGACUCACUGGCCCGUUACUGACGCUGAGGCGCGAAAGCGUGGGGAGCAAACA